UAGAAAUUAGCUUAAUUGGUAAAGCAACUAUCUUACACAUAGAAGAGUAUAGGUUCGAAUCCUAUAUUUCUAA
rfam:Yarrowia lipolytica complete mitochondrial genome, strain W29